rnacentral:rRNA from 1 species
UACGAAGGGAGCUAGCGUUGUUCGGAAUCACUGGGCGUAAAGCGCACGUAGGCGGAUGUGUCAGUCAGGGGUGAAAUCCCGGAGCUCAACUUCGGAACUGCCUUUGAUACAGCACGUCUUGAGUCCGAUAGAGGUGGGUGGAAUUCCUAGUGUAGAGGUGAAAUUCGUAGAUAUUCGGAAGAACACCAGUGGCGAAGGCGGACUCACUGGUCCGGUACUGACGCUGAGGUGCGAAAGCGUGGGGAGCAAACAGG